GGCAUAUUGAUGAAAGUGUUGACAUUGGAGAAGGGAAGCGCACACACUACACUUUGUUAAUAUAUUUAAGUGGUGGUCCCAAAUCCAAAACCAAAGUUGAUAAGGAUUCUCAGGAUUCAUUGUCUGAGAGCCUUGUUGGAGGGGAAACUGUCUUUUAUGGUCCAAGAAACACUUUGGUUGCCGAGGUACCUCCGACCGAAGGAAUGGCUCUUGUUCACAUUCACGGGGAUAAAUGUAUGUUGCAUGAAGCUCGGAAUGUCACUAAG
rnacentral:misc_RNA from 1 species